rnacentral:rRNA from 1 species
AUUGAACGCUGGCGGAAUGCUUUACACAUGCAAGUCGAACGGCAGCACGGGGCAACCUGGUGGCGAGUGGCGAACGGGUGAGUAAUACAUCGGAACGUGCCCAAUCGUGGGGGAUAACGUAGCGAAAGUUACGCUAAUACCGCAUACGAUCUACGGAUGAAAGCGGGGGAUCGCAAGACCUCGCGCGAAUGGAGCGGCCGAUGUCAGAUUAGGUAGUUGGUGGGGUAAAGGCUCACCAAGCCGACGAUCUGUAGCUGGUCUGAGAGGACGACCAGCCACACUGGGACUGAGACACGGCCCAGACUCCUACGGGAGGCAGCAGUGGGGAAUUUUGGACAAUGGGCGCAAGCCUGAUCCAGCCAUUCCGCGUGCAGGAUGAAGGCCUUGGGUUGUAAAC